rfam:Camelus ferus unplaced genomic scaffold scaffold2128, whole genome shotgun sequence.
GGGUAUAUAGCUCAAGUGGUAGAGUGCAUGCUUAACAUGCACAAGGUCCUGGGUUCAAUCCCCAAUACCUCUA